UACAGAGGUGCCAAGCGUUAGGCGGAAUCACUGGGCUUAAAGCGCGUGUAGGUGGGUCGUUAAGUGUCCGCGUGAAAUCCCACGGCUCAACCGUGGAACUGCCGGGCAUACUGGCGAUCUUGAGGCAUUCAGGGGCGAGCGGAACAAGUGGUGGAGCGGUGAAAUGCGUAGAUAUCUGGAGGAACACCGGUGGCGAAGGCGGCAUCCUGGACGCCUACUGACGCUGAGACGCGAAAGCCAGGGGAGCGAACGGG
rnacentral:rRNA from 1 species